GGGUCAGUAGGUUGGUCGUGCCACCGGUACGUACUGGUCUCACUGAUUCCUCCUUCCUGAAGAACCGUAAUGCCAUUAAUUUGGUGUUGCGGGGAAACAGGACUGUUACUUUGAAAAAAUUAGAGUGCUUAAAGCAAGCUAACGCUUGAAUACAGUAGCAUGGAAUAAUGAAAUAGGACGAUCGAUCCUAUUUUGUUGGUUUCUAGGAUUGACGUA
rnacentral:rRNA from 1 species